rnacentral:rRNA from 1 species
AUUGAACGCUGGCGGAAUGCUUUACACAUGCAAGUCGAACGGCAGCACGGGGGCAGCCCUGGUGGCGAGUGGCGAACGGGUGAGUAAUACAUCGGAACGUGCCCGGUCGUGGGGGAUAACGUAGCGAAAGUUACGCUAAUACCGCAUACGAUCUGAGGAUGAAAGCGGGGGACCUUCGGGCCUCGCGCGAUCGGAGCGGCCGAUGUCAGAUUAGGUAGUUGGUGGGGUAAAGGCCUACCAAGCCGACGACCUGUAGCUGGUCUGAGAGGACGACCAGCCACACUGGGACUGAGACACGGCCCAGACUCCUACGGGAGGCAGCAGUGGGGAAUUUUGGACAAUGGGCGCAAGCCUGAUCCAGCCAUUCCGCGUGCAGGACGAAGGCCUUCGGGUUGUAAACUGCUUUUGUACGGAACGAAAAGGCUCUGGCUAAUACCUGGGGCUCAUGACGGUACCGUAAGAAUAAGCACCGGCUAACUACGUG